rnacentral:rRNA from 1 species
CCUACGGGUCGCACCAGCGGGGAAUUUUGGACAAUGGGCGCAAGCCUGAUCCAGCAAUGCCGCGUGAGAGAAGAAGGCCUUCGGGUUGUAAAGCUCUUUUGUCAGGGAAGAAACGGUAGGAGCUAAUAUCUCUUGCUAAUGACGGUACCUGAAGAAUAAGCACCGGCUAACUACGUGCCAGCAGCCGCGGUAAUACGUAGGGUGCAAGCGUUAAUCGGAAUUACUGGGCGUAAAGCGUGCGCAGGCGGUUUUGUAAGUCUGUCGUGAAAGCCCCGGGCUCAACCUGGGAAUUGCGAUGGAGACUGCAAGGCUUGAAUCUGGCAGAGGGGGGUAGAAUUCCACGUGUAGCAGUGAAAUGCGUAGAGAUGUGGAGGAACACCGAUGGCGAAGGCAGCCCCCUGGGUCAAGAUUGACGCUCAUGCACGAAAGCGUGGGGAGCAAACAGGAUUAGAUACCCGAGUAGUC